AUCCCCUACGGGACGCAGCAGUGAGGAAUAUUGGUCAAUGGACGCAAGUCUGAACCAGCCAUGCCGCGUGCAGGAAGACGGCUCUAUGAGUUGUAAACUGCUUUUGUACGAGGGUAAAUGCAGGUACGUGUAUCUGUUUGAAAGUAUCGUACGAAUAAGGAUCGGCUAACUCCGUGCCAGCAGCCGCGGUAAUACGGAGGAUCCAAGCGUUAUCCGGAUUUAUUGGGUUUAAAGGGUGCGUAGGCGGUCCGGAAAGUCAGCGGUAAAAGCCCGGGGCUCAACCCCGGCGAGCCGUUGAAACUGUC
rnacentral:rRNA from 1 species